rnacentral:rRNA from 1 species
UGGCUCAAGAUUAACGCUGGCGGCAUGCCUAAUACAUGCAAGUCGAACGGAGUAUCAAUACUUAGUGGCGAACGGGUGAGUAACACGUAUCUAAUCUACCAUUUAGUGGGGAAUAACUGUUGGAAACGACAGCUAAUACCGCAUAAUAUUGCUGGAUAAUUUCCAGUAAUGAAAGGAGCUUUCAAGCUCCGCUGAUUGAUGAGGAUGCGGCGCAUUAGCUAGUUGGUAGGGUAAUGGCCUACCAAGGCAAUGAUGCGUAGCCGAUCUGAGAGGAUGAACGGCCACAUUGGGACUGAGACACGGCCCAAACUUCUACGGAAGGCAGCAGUAA